rnacentral:misc_RNA from 1 species
GAUGAAGAACGCAGUGAAAUGCGAUAAGUAAUGUGAAUUGCAGAAUUCAGUGAAUCAUCGAAUCUUUGAACGCACAUUGCGCCCGCCAGUAUUCUGGCGGGCAUGCCUGUUCGAGCGUCAUUUCAACCAUCAAGCCCCCGGCUUGUGUUGGGGACCUGCGGCUGCCGCAGGCCCUGAAAACCAGUGGCGGGCUCGCUAGUCACUCCGAGCGUAGUAGUUACAUCUCGCUCAGGGCGUGCUGCGGGUUCCGGCCGUUAAAAGCCUUAUUUACCCAAGGUUGACCUCGGAUCAGGUAGGAAGACCCGCUGAACUUAAGCAUAUCAAUAAGCGGAGGA